AACGAACGCUGGCGGCAUGCCUAACACAUGCAAGUCGAACGAGACCUUCGGGUCUAGUGGCGCACGGGUGCGUAACGCGUGGGAACCUGCCCUUAGGUUCGGAAUAACUCCCCGAAAGGGGUGCUAAUACCGGAUAAUGUCUUCGGACCAAAGAUUUAUCGCCUUUGGAUGGGCCCGCGUUGGAUUAGCUAGUUGGUAGGGUAAAAGCCUACCAAGGCGACGAUCCAUAGCUGGUCUGAGAGGAUGAUCAGCCACACUGGGACUGAGACACGGCCCAGACUCCUACGGGAGGCAGCAGUGGGGAAUAUUGGACAAUGGGCGAAAGCCUGAUCCAGCAAUGCCGCGUGAGUGAUGAAGGCCUUAGGGUUGUAAAGCUCUUUUACCCGGGAUGAUAAUGACAGUACCGGGAGAAUAAGCUCCUGCUAACUCCGUG
rnacentral:rRNA from 1 species